AAGUUUGUUUGCACUAGCUAUAACCUUGAAACCUUCUCCUUUGUGCAGAUUUGAGGCCUGGAGCCAGCCAUCUCAACAAAAAAGCAUGCAAGUUUUCGCUUGUGCUGGUAUUGACCUGUCAACAGCAACCAUCUCACCAUCACCACUUGCUGGAUAAACAGCAUCCCGUUUGAGUUGGAGUAUCUACCCAGGAUGUCGGUCGAGUUACGGAUCUCUUCUUCCCCGUUCUUGAAAUGUCAUCGUGUACACCCAUAUCGAGUGUGGGUGAAUUCACGAGGACCACCUUCUCCUACCCCACAUGGUGGAUUCAACUUUUCUGCGGAUGUAUGGAGCACUUGUGGAUGCCUGGCCGUAUUUCCCGGGCUUAAAGAUUUGAGGCUGAGCCAGCCAUCGUGACAAAAAGAUGUGCCAAUUUUUCUUGUGCUGGUAUUGACGUGUCAACAGCAACAAUCUCACCAUCACCACUUGCUGGAUAAACAGCAUCCCGUUGGAGAACCUACCCAGGAUGUCGGUCGAGUUACGGAUCUCUUCUUCGCAUUUUCUUGAAAUGUCAUCGUGUACACCCAUAUCGAGUGUGGGUGAAUUCACGAGGACCAACCCUUCUCCUAUCCCGCCUGGGGGAUUCAACUUUUCUGCGGAUGGAUGGAGCACUUGUGGAUGCCUGGCCGUAUGUCCCGGGC